AUUGAGCGCUGGCGGCAUGCUUUACACAUGCAAGUCGAACGGCAGCACGGACUUCGGUCUGGUGGCGAGUGGCGAACGGGUGAGUAAUACAUCGGAACGUGCCCAGUUGUGGGGGAUAACUACUCGAAAGAGUAGCUAAUACCGCAUGAGAACUGAGGUUGAAAGCAGGGGAUCGUAAGACCUUGCGCAACUGGAGCGGCCGAUGGCAGAUUAGGUAGUUGGUGGGAUAAAAGCUUACCAAGCCGACGAUCUGUAGCUGGUCUGAGAGGACGACCAGCCACACUGGGACUGAGACACGGCCCAGACUCCUACGGGAGGCAGCAGUGGGGAAUUUUGGACAAUGGGCGAAAGCCUGAUCCAGCAAUGCCGCGUGCAGGAUGAAGGCCUUCGGGUUGUAAACUGCUUUUGUACGGAACGAAAAGCUUCGGGUUAAUACCCUGGAGUCAUGACGGUACCGUAAGAAUAAGCACCGGCUAACUACGUGCCAGCCGCCGCAGUAA
rnacentral:rRNA from 1 species